GGAGGAGUGCCCGAGUGGUUAAAGGGGGCAGACUGUAAAUCUGUUGGUUAACUCCUACAUUGGUUCGAAUCCAAUCUCCUCCA
rnacentral:tRNA from 1 species